rnacentral:rRNA from 1 species
UACGGAGGGGGCGAACGUUGUCCGGAUUUACUGGGUGUAAAGGGUGCUCAGGCGGUCGUGUAAGUCAGAGGUGAAAUCUCAAGGCUUAACCUUGAAACUGCCUUGGAUACUGCUGGGCUGGAGUACGGCAGAGGCGGAUGGAAUUCCUGGUGUAGCGGUGAAAUGCGUAGAUAUCAGGAGGAACACCGGUGGCGAAGGCGCGCCGCUGGGCCGUUACUGACGCUGAAGCACGAAAGCGUGGGGAGCAAACAGG